rnacentral:rRNA from 2 species
AGACAGGUGGUGCAUGGUUGUCGUCAGCUCGUGUCGUGAGAUGUUGGGUUAAGUCCCGCAACGAGCGCAACCCCUAACAUUAGUUGCCAGCGAGUGAAGUCGGGAACUCUAAUGUGACUGCCGUUGACAAAACGGAGGAAGGUGGGGAUGACGUCAAAUCAUCAUGCCCCUUAUGUCCUGGGCUACACACGUACUACAAUGGCCGGUACAGACGGAAGCGAAGCCGUGAGGCGGAGCGAAACCGAGAAAGCCGGUCUCAGUUCGGAUUGUAGUCUGCAACUCGACUACAUGAAGUCGGAAUCGCUAGUAAUCGCAGGUCAGCAUACUGCGGUGAAUACGUUCCCGGGCCUUGUACACACCGCCCGUCACACCACGAAAGCUGACAACACCCGAAGCCGGUGA